AUGGGUCUCAAUGGGGCCCGGCUGCACGAGGCCGUGUGGCGGCGGCUCCGUCAGCGCUCUCUGUCCUUCCCCACAGGGCUGAUGGCGGCCGUGACGUUGGACGAGUCCGGGGGCGGCCUCCAGGCGCCCGGAGGAGGGAUCACCCUCGUCUGCAAGGCCUCCGGCUUCACCUUCAGCAGUUACCCCAUGUACUGGGUGCGACAGGCACCCGGCAAGGCGCUGGAGUGGGUCGCGGGUAUUUGGAGCACUGGUAGUAACACAGGCUACGCGUCGGCGGUGAAGGGCCGUGCCACCAUCUCGAGGGACAACGGGCAGAGCACAGUGCGGCUGCAGCUGAACAGCCUCAAGGCCGAAGACACCGCCACCUACUACUGCGCGAGAGGUUAUGGUAGUGGUUGUGAUGAUGAUGCUAAUUAUAUCGACGCCGCUCCUGGGUUUAGUGGUAUCUCCCAGAGCCCCAGUUGAGAGAUCAGAGCCCAA